rnacentral:tRNA from 1 species
GUGUGUGUAAUUUAAAAAAAUAUCAUGCUGUGACCUUGAAAAUGGGUAACCCCCCACACA